rnacentral:rRNA from 1 species
CGCAUGCGCGGCUACACAUGCAGUCGAGCGGGGGAGGUAGCUUGCUACCGGACCUAGCGGCGGACGGGUGAGUAAUGCUUAGGAAUCUGCCUAUUAGUGGGGGACAACAUCUCGAAAGGGAUGCUAAUACCGCAUACGUCCUACGGGAGAAAGCAGGGGAUCUUCGGACCUUGCGCUAAUAGAUGAGCCUAAGUCGGAUUAGCUAGUUGGUGGGGUAAAGGCCUACCAAGGCGACGAUCUGUAGCGGGUCUGAGAGGAUGAUCCGCCACACUGGGACUGAGACACGGCCCAGACUCCUACGGGAGGCAGCAGUGGGGAAUAUUGGACAAUGGGGGGAACCCUGAUCCAGCCAUGCCGCGUGUGUGAAGAAGGCCUUAUGGUUGUAAAGCACUUUAAGCGAGGAGGAGGCUACUUUAGUUAAUACCUAGAGAUAGUGGACGUUACUCGCAGAAUAAGCACCGGCUAACUCUGUGCCAGCAGCCGCGGUAAUACAGAGGGUGCGAGCGUUAAUCGGAUUUACUGGGCGUAAAGCGUGCGUAGGCGGCUUAUUAAGUCGGAUGUGAAAUCCCCGAGCUUAACUUGGGAAUUGCAUUCGAUACUGGUGAGCUAGAGUAUGGGAGAGGAUGGUAGAAUUCCAGGUGUAGCGGUGAAAUGCGUAGAGAUCUGGAGGAAUACCGAUGGCGAAGGCAGCCAUCUGGCCUAAUACUGACGCUGAGGUACGAAAGCAUGGGGAGCAAACAGGAUUAGAUACCCUGGUAGUCCAUGCCGUAAACGAUGUCUACUAGCCGUUGGGGCCUUUGAGGCUUUAGUGGCGCAGCUAACGCGAUAAGUAGACCGCCUGGGGAGUACGGUCGCAAGACUAAAACUCAAAUGAAUUGACGGGGGCCCGCACAAGCGGUGGAGCAUGUGGUUUAAUUCGAUGCAACGCGAAGAACCUUACCUGGUCUUUGACAUACUAGAAACUUUCCAGAGAUGGAUUGGUGCCUUUCG